UGUUCGAUUGGGCACCCUGAAUUCGUUCUCGAUAGCUUGUUCGCAACUCACGGGAUCACUGUUCACGUGGAAUUUGUUGUCAGGAGUUAAAAGGUCCACUGAUCUGGACCUCUUUUGGCGUCCCAUUGUUUCAACAGGCACAGAAGGAUUCCUGGCGAGCGCUCGAGCCGGUUGGUCAUCCUGGACCUGUCGAUUGUGCAAUAACUUGGGGGUGGAGGAGGAACUGGGGACACUGUCGAUGAAGAAGCCGACGACGAGGUGGUCAAAGGACUUGGAGCACCGGUGCCUUGCCUGAUGUAUUCAACCAAAUGUGAGGUGGGGCGUGGCUGACAGUGGCACUAUACAGAGAGGACGAGGAGGCUGAGUCCAGCAUGUGCUCCAAACUUUUGGCCCGUUUGAUUGGUUUGCGGCCGUCCGGCCGAGGCCGAGGAUCUUGAAGUUGGCCUCGUGGUUUGUUUCUCCUAUGCCGAGGUCGUGGUAAACUGGAAUGAUCCAUAUGAGAUUGUAAAACGCCAGACUCAAAGAGAAAGAGAACAAGGACAUCCGAGGGCUUCCUUGGAGAUAAAGCGGUUGGUGAGGAUGCGAUUGGCAAUAGAUUAGACCCACACAAUGAUCGGGCAAAACGGA